GAUGAACGCUGGCGGCGUGCUUAACACAUGCAAGUCGAACGAAGCACUUAGAGUCAAUCCCUUCGGGGUGCGACACUUUGUGACUGAGUGGCGGACGGGUGAGUAACGCGUGGGUAACCUACCUCAUACAGGGGGAUAACAGUUAGAAAUGACUGCUAAUACCGCAUAAGCGCACAGGACCACAUGGUCCGGUGUGAAAAACUCCGGUGGUAUGAGAUGGACCCGCGUCUGAUUAGCUAGUUGGUAAGGUAACGGCUUACCAAGGCGACGAUCAGUAGCCGACCUGAGAGGGUGACCGGCCACAUUGGGACUGAGACACGGCCCAAACUCCUACGGGAGGCAGCAGUGGGGAAUAUUGCACAAUGGGGGAAACCCUGAUGCAGCGACGCCGCGUGAAGGAAGAAGUAUUUCGGUAUGUAAACUUCUAUCAGCAGGGAAGAAGAUGACGGUACCUGACUAAGAAGCCCCGGCUAAUUACGUGCCAGCAGCCGCCGUAACAC
rnacentral:rRNA from 1 species